AACGUAGGACGCAAGCGUUAUCCGGAGUUACUGGGCGUAAAGCGCGGGCAGGCGGUUCUGCCAGUCUGAUGUGAAAUCUCCUCGCUCAACGGGGAGCAGCCAUUGGAAACUACAGAACUGGAGUCUGACAGAGGUAGGCGGAAUUCCGGGUGGAGUGGUGAAAUGCGUAGAUAUCGGGAGGAACACCAGUGGCGAAGGCGACUACCUGGCCUGUUCUUGACGCUGAGGCGCGAAAGCUAGGGGAGCAAACGGG
rnacentral:rRNA from 1 species